rnacentral:rRNA from 1 species
UACAGAGGGGACAAGCGUUGUCCGGAUUUACUGGGCGUAAAGAGCGCGCAGGCGGUCGAUCAAGUCGAGUGUGAAAGCCCCCGGCUCAACUGGGGAGGGUCAUUCGAUACUGAUCGACUCGAAGGCAGGAGAGGGUAGUGGAAUUCCCGGUGUGAGUGGUGAAAUGCGUAGAUAUCGGGAGGAACACCCAGUGGCGAAGGCGACUACCUGGCCUGUUCUUGACGCUGAGGCGCGAAAGCUAGGGGAGCAAACGGGG